AGAUGUUGACAGUGACUGGUUAUUCAUUCCUAAAUAAUGUGGUUCCUGAGAAAGAUUUUGAAAAUAGAAAAAAGGAGUUUUAGAAGGUACUAUAAAAAGUUGAGCCAAGCAAGGGAACCAAAGAAGUUAGGAGUUUUUCCUGAUGUCCUGCCUCUUUUUCAUAACAGAAUCACUAUAAGAACAGCAGUCUGUUUUCUCCAGGAUGAUAUGUGUGUGUGUGUGUGUGUGUGUGUGUGUGUGUGUGUGUGUGUGUGUGUAUAAAGGUAGGAAAAUUAGAGUUAGCUCCACCACUGUGAAUGAAAUGAUUUCAGGCAAAACAAGUAGCUUCUCUGAGCUUGCAUUUCUAUCUAUAAGAUGGAAAUCAUAAUGGCAAUUUUGGUGAACUCUUGCCACUGAUACGACGAUCAAAAGACAUGGUGUGAGUACAAGCUUUUUUGAAGAAUUUGAAAAUGCUGUAUGCAUAUUACAAUCCCUUGCUUUAAUUAAACCUUUUUGUAUCCUGUAUUUUGGAGGUCGGGUGAUGACUCUGAGCUUUUGAAACUCAGAUUGAAAGAAUCCUUGACAACACAGAUAAGAAGCACCAAUGCUGAAUGGCUGUCCCAGGUAAUAUUUCACACUGUGUGUGUGUGUGUGUGUGUGUGUGUGUGUGUGUGUGUGUGCGUGCACAGGGUUGGAAGUCUCAAUUCAGCCCCGCUAUAACACAAAAAUGGGCAUUCAGGGCGAGAUGUGUCGCUAAAGUGACAAACAUACUUAAAAACAUAGGGUGAAGGGAAACACAGUUCUCUGUUCUUUUUUGUCUGAAUAGGCUGAGUGUUCUCUUGGUCUGUGGGUUUCCUUGGAGCCAUGUCUCUUAAUGGCCAUCAGCAUAGCAGAAGCCAGCUGUGAGAGCAGACACUGGUGGGUUCCAGAUGCAGAAUGCUAGACAGAAGCACCAGAGGGCAUGUUUUAAGAGCUAGAGAAAGAAAUGAAGUAAAAAAAAAAAAAAAAAAAAAAAGAUUUGAAAAUCUUUUAAUCUGCUCAGUUUCAUCUCAAGCAUUUCAAGGGUUCUCUACCUGCCUAGAGAUUCAAAACCCUGGAAUGCGAAGUCCCAUUCCCAACUCUAAGUCAAUAUGAAGAUGCACAGCAAAGCAAACGCUCAGGGUUCACAGUGACUAAAAGAACAAAGGGAAAAAGGAGGGAGAGCAGGGCAUUUUGCAAGCAAAUAGCUUUUAUCCCUUUUGCAGCAACUGUCUUACAUGAAUAUCUUGGGAUAUAUGCUAUUUGUUUAUACUGAAACCAGCAGGGCAUUCCAUCUAUGAAAUGUUCUGGUGAUGAAUUAUAAACAGGAAUGGAAAGGCCAAUGGAACUCUUUAGUUGCCAUCCUGACAAUAUAAAAAAUAUUUCCAGAUAUCAGUUCUCUUGGACAGUCUCAAAUUUGGAAAAUUAUUUAUUGGGGAGAGAUGGAUACUAUUAGAAACAAAUAGAGUUAGGAAAACUGUGGAGUGGGAAUGAAUAAUAUUAGCAUCAAAUUGAGUCAGGAAAACGAUAUUACGAUGUUUUUCCUCUGAAAUUUAAACUAUGGUGUCUGAAUACAAGCAGAAAACAGAAAAGACAGCAUGCAGAAAGCAGGCAUUCGCCCUACCACCCUGAUCCAUUCGCUGUGAGAAAGCAGCGGCUCAGUGCCAUAAGAUCUAAUUACCCAGAAUUGCCUUUCCUGCCCCACAGCAAUCAUUUUGAUGACAGGCUUCUCUGCACUGUAAAGCAAGAUGGGGAACCUGUGCUGUAUAAACUGACUUGCGCUUCCUUUCCUUCCUCUGCUAUCGGCCUCCCCAUCUCAUUUAUUUUCCACACAUUAAUGGUAGCAGUCACCUUGAGCUGGUGAUGCAGAGUAAUUUUCACAGAAACCUUGAUCAGAAACCAUAAAUCAGCCUGAUGUGCUUUUAUGGUCUAAUAACGUACCGGUUGCUCCUACAGGCCUGUAUGUAAAACUGCAAACUGCAUUGCAGUGAGUCCUUUGGAUGCUUUUUCUCCCCCCAUUCAUACAGUGCACAUGCCUGCGUGCUCCAGCUCUCCCCACCCCCACCCCUCCGCCUUCUCUUCUCCCUCUCUAGGUAUAGUAUUUAUAGAUACACAUGUGUGCAUGUGCACUUAGGUCACGUGGACACCGUUCAUUUCUAACAAAACCAGAUUUAAAUGGCAUUAUAUAUGCUCCUCAUGGUGGCAGGGGAGGCAGAUUCCUUCAGGAGCAUAAAAUGAUGUAUUUGUUGGAUUCUCAGUGGCGCAUCUUAACAAAUGAACUCUCUCAGACCCCAAAAUAAAAUGACGUAACUGUUUUAGGGGCCAUUCGGUCUCUUAAAUGAUUCAAUUUCUUUUUUUUUUUUUUUUCUUUUCUCAUCAGGACAACUGGAUGCUGCACCUUUGUAGACUCUUGACUACCCAGUUCCUCAGGGCUACAUGGCUUGAAACUGAGUCGUAUCUGACUCUGUACCAUGGCCCAUGGUCUGCUGUGCCACUGACUACCUGAUGGACUUG
rnacentral:lncRNA from 1 species